UGUGAUCCUGGCUCAGAUUGAACGCUGGCGGCAUGCCUUACACAUGCAAGUCGAACGGCAGCACGGGGGCAACCCUGGUGGCGAGUGGCGAACGGGUGAGUAAUACAUCGGAACGUGUCCUGUAGUGGGGGAUAGCCCGGCGAAAGCCGGAUUAAUACCGCAUACGCUCUACGGAGGAAAGGGGGGGAUCUCAGGACCUCCCGCUACAGGGGCGGCCGAUGGCAGAUUAGCUAGUUGGUGGGGUAAAGGCCUACCAAGGCGACGAUCUGUAGCUGGUCUGAGAGGACGACCAGCCACACUGGGACUGAGACACGGCCCAGACUCCUACGGGAGGCAGCAGUGGGGAAUUUUGGACAAUGGGCGAAAGCCUGAUCCAGCAAUGCCGCGUGUGUGAAGAAGGCCUUCGGGUUGUAAAGCACUUUUGUCCGGAAAGAAAACCUCCGCCCUAAUAUGGUGGGGGGAUGACGGUACCGGAAGAAUAAGCACCGGC
rnacentral:rRNA from 1 species